rnacentral:piRNA from 1 species
UUUCUCUUGUCGACUUUUUGA